UUUGGCGUUCUUCUUAUUUUGCUCAUUAUGUAAACGUAUUAGCAAUUCAUUUUUAUCAAUAGUAUCCAACUGGAAACGACCAAGUCUCCCAAUGCGAUAUUGUUGAAUUACAUAGUUAGAAACAAAAUUCUCGUCGAAGCCACCCUUAGUUAGUUUACGAGCUUUGUAGGCAGUGUUUUGUAAAAAUUCAUCCACAUCAUUUGUCGGUAAUGACCA